CUCAAAUAAAUGCGGGGAUGCCUCGGCUCGGAGCAGUCGGCCGCCUCCCUCCGCGCGCUGGACGCUCCGCCGCCGGCCGCCCGCAGGUAGGGAGUGCGUCCGCUCAAGGGCCGCGCCCGGUCCCUCGGGCUGCUCCUGUCCGCGCGCCUCCCCUCCCCCGGCCAGUCCGGCUCCGCUCCGAGGGCUUCGGCGCCUAGACGCGGGCAGAGGAGGGAGGGAAGUUGGUGAAGACCCUGGGCUUUGGGAAGUGGCCUUUUGUGCGGGCGAUUUCUGAGAAGGCACAGCGUGGGAAGACGAGGGGUCGAGGAGGCACAAACUCAGACUGAAUCUGGGCUCUGAGCACAGUUGGAGAGUUCGGUGGGGCCCCUAAGCUACUGGAAGCCAAGACAGGCCCCUGCAGCCCUCCGAGCUGGGGAUUGGAUCCCAGGGCCGCGGGUUUCCCAAAGACAGUGGGGAGGUGGAGGGUGGGGGAACGCCCUUGGCCUCAGAGUCUGGAGUGCGGGUCAGCGGGAAACGGCGUGCUGAUACCGGGCGGCUUCAGAGGCAGAGCCCGGAGCGUGGGUUCAGAGGCCAGUCUCAGCGGUCCCCAGGACGCCCGCAGGCCCGGGCAGCGCUGCGGCGGGCGCCCCUCGGGGGCAGGAGAGGGGCAGCGCCUCGUGGAGAAGCGAGGGAACUUUUCAUUCUCACCGCAACAGGCGGCUUUUAGCCAUUCUGUACAGGCGCGCCUGGCUGCAGGCAGGUUCGGGAGGUUCUGGGGUUACAGGCUGGGUCCGGUAGGAAGAGACAGAAAGCGGCCAGGGGCCGUUUAUCACCCCGGUCUCGCCGCGUUGGCCCGGAGCAGGGCGCGCCGCGGUGUCGGAGGACGUGAGUUUGGAGGACUGAACAGAGCCGACCGCAUCCUUCCGCUGCCUGCAGGAAGGCGCCGGCUCGGAAAACUAGUAGUUCCACGCUGCUAGUUGAAACUGCAGGAGCCCCGGCUUCUGAGGGAAGGGUGCGAAAAAGGUAUCUUUCCUCUGAGGUUUCCCAGGUGCCCCACCCCCCGAAAUCUGCAUCCCCACUGGGGAUUUCCCUCUACAGGCUGGAUAACUGGCCUUAUGAGAGGCCAGCGUCCGCCGGGUCAUUCUGGGUAUUUUGCCAGGCAGGGAGAUGCGGCUAAGUACCCGGCUCGAAAUUGCCUGCCACCACAACUGGAAAGCUAUUCCCCUCUGUGCCACAGUCACCAGAUCUCGAACCCAAAGGGCAGAAAUCGGUCCCGGUGAUUGGCAGGGUCAGUUAUAUGGGCACCUCCAGGUGUAAAGACCCUGGGCGCCCUCUCCCCUCCUUCGCUGGCGCCCCGGGCCGCGCGCCUUUGUCCACCGCGCCCAAGGCCGGCUGAGGAGCGCGCCCGACGCCCUCCGAGCCCGGGCUCCGGCUCGCGUGGCUGGUUAUCUUCCCUGAACAAGAUGGAACACCUGCAGGACACAAGGCGAGGCUAAUCGUUUUUAAAUAAUUAAUACCUCCCCGUUCCGCUGGUAAUGCGCGGCCUCGAAUGCGUCAAUUACUUGUCAUUAGACCAGUGUCACCCCACAGCCUUCCCUCGGGCCUUUGAUGGCGCCGUCACCUACCCUAGCCCACUCCCCAGCACAAUUAAAAGGUGCCCGGCCUUUGAAAGCCGGGUGGGAGUAGCCGCGGCCCUAAAUCAGCGCGAGUUUUGAAAGACCCACGCUGAAAAGAUGUUAUCUUCCAAAUGGCCAAUUUAAACGCCUGAUCUUUAUCGCCCGCCUUCUCUGGCUUUAUAAAAAGAAGCUGGUCCUCAGUGCUUGGGGGUCCUUUUACUGUGGGGGUGGGGCGAAGAGAAGGAAGAGAUAAGGUUUAACAGGGCAUAGGGGCACGUGUUUGCUCAAGAAGGCACCUGAAGGUACCUCGGGUAACUGGUUUUCUCAUCCUUCUGAGCAUGGGGGUCUGGAGUUCUUCUGGGCUUAGGAGGGGCGCCUCUCUAAGACAAGAUCUGGAAUGUGUAGACCAGAACUGUCCAGGGAAACUGGCAGGGCCUUUUCUGGUGGUGAAUCUGCACCCUGCAAGAGGCCGCAAGCAAAGGGAACCUUCUCUGGGUCCCCCAGUCACCACAACCCCGGUGUUGCAGAACAGCAAGAGCCAGCUAAUGCCCACAGACUUGUCGGCACCAAGUCCUGGACACACACCUUAGCACCACCAGCCCCAAUUCGCUGUCUCUGCUGUAGCAAAACAGCAAGAUUUGAGACCCUCAAUGUGUGUCCUGGGUCAGGGACACCUGGACACCAACCCUGGCAGCAGCACCAUGGCAACCAAGGCCAGCCAAGGGUUGGUGAGUGAAAUUUUAAAAAGACAAGAAAAAACUCCCCAAAAGUUUGCAACUCGAUUUAAUUGAUUUAAUUACACUUCUGCUUCUUCCUUCCUUCCCCAUCAAAUGUUCUUUUUACAGUAAAUAAAUAUCUGAGAGUCUCAGAGCUUUAAAUGCCCCCUUUUGAGCAAAAACAACGUGCUGUAUCUACCACCCUCCUUGACCGCAAAGACAUCUCUCUUCUCAGCUUUACAGCAGGCUGAGGUCACAAAGUUCUUAUAGCCUCUACCCCCAGGACUGGUUUUCCUCUGAGAAGAGGAGAAAAGAAAACAUGGGGAUGGAGAAAAAAAUUAUGGGGCCAGCGGGAGAAACGAUUUUAAAAAUGAAUGGAGAAAGGCUGACCGGAAGGUGCUGGUGUGUCCCCCCUACACACACACUGCCCCGCCUGGGGUUCCGGGCUGCUCUUUAGGCCUUCAGCCCAGACUCACACCCUCUCUGGGGCACGCCACACUGAUUGGGAUUCUUUUUGCUGAGAUGCACGGGACGUGGGCAGGAGGCUACAGGCAGCUCCAGAGACCAGCAAACAGACAUUGCACGGAAUAGAUGCGUGUCCCCAGUGGCACACAGCAGGGGCCCCAGCUCCUGGUGGGCUUCUCCCUUUGACAAAACUCCCAGGGAGCACUCUACCCACCCCCAGCACACCAGGGGUUGCCUCGGAAGCCUAAAUCCUGGGGCAUCUUCCCCAUUCUGUUCAGAGCCUUCCUGCCCACUCUCUUAUCCUUUUUCUCCUUUCUUCUUUAAAACAAUCAUGUGUGUCCCCCCUUGCCCCCUCCCGCUAUUGUGUUUGUUGAUGACCUAACACGCUCACACCAAAAGCCACACACAGAAAACCAACAACGUGGGAUGGGAGGAGAGACCAAUUAUGAUUGAGGCUAACAAGCGGGGAACACCCAAGUUGAGGCCGGCUGUCUCCUGGGAGACUGAUGGAGGCUUCUUUUACAAGCUGUCAUUCCAGCGUGGUCCCUAUUGCCAGACUGGAGGUGAUUCCUAUUCUCCCUUCCCCCUCAGCUCCGGCACCCUUGCAGACUGUUCCAGAUUCUUUGUACAUCCUCUGCAGAAGAAGCUGCCCCCAAAGUUCCUCUCGUGGACAGGUAGAGAGGGCAGGGGUGUGUUACAAGCACAUCUUCACAACAGUAUGCUUCUUUUUCACAUUAGCGGCUGUUCCUCAGAGCUCCAAGCUCACUGCCAAUGAGACAUGGACUGGUCAGAUGUCACUGUCACCCCCCCUUCCCAGGUUCCUAUAAAAGACAUUGACUUACCCUUUACACCUCUCUCAAAAGAAGGGAGUAUUUUACUGCCAGAUACCACAACCGAUAGCUGGGAGUGCUGAAAGAAGCAACACAAAUUAAGUUACAUUCAUUCACGGCAAACUAGAGGUCUCAGGUUCUCAUUAGGGCAAGGGCCUGGAGUUUAACUCUCUCCUGAAGCUAAUUGCAGGCAGUAAUACUCCCUGUGCUGCCAGGAGACCAUGCCAGCAAUGCCAUAUUUAUUUAACUUAUACACAUCAAAUUAACUGAGAGGGAAAAUUUCAGAAUCACAAACAUACGUGUGUGAGGGAGAAAUACUGGAGUGUUAUGCACAUUAAAACUUUGGAAGGACAACUGUUUGCUGUUUCUAGUUCGACUUGCUUAAGCUGUUCCACUUCUGCUUGUUUAAAUGGUAGACGACUAGAUUUUCUGCAUAGGUAAAUCAGCUUGUCCAUUGUUUCAUUUAUUUGAAAAGAAUAAAACGUAGGUUUCAAGGAUAAGCAGGAGUGUUUUUGGACUAGGGUUGGUUGGUAAUGACCCCAGGGAAUUUUGAUUGCAUGCAUGUCAAUUUUGACUUGCUAUUUCAUUAGAAAUAUGAUCUCAAAUCAUUAUUCCUUGUCUUUUCACAAAGCAGACAUAAUUAUGCAAUGGAUUUUAUUGGGAAAAUUUUGCUCGCAUAAAGAAAAGCAUACAGUGCCUAAUUUGAAAACACAAAUGUUAAAAGUGCAUUACUUGAAAGUAGAAAAACAUGAUCUUGGGAAGUGAUUGGAGAAGGGGCCUUGGGAGGAGCUAAGGCAUGAAGUGGGUGGCUGGAGAACUGGAGAAAGUAGAUAAUAAUUAUAUGACAUUUUCUGGGAGGGAACAGGGUGAAGCGUCAGCCAGGGCAGGACUUGAGUUAUAGGGAACUCUGUAUGGAGGCCUCAGACAUCUUUAGCAAAGAAAUCAGGAUGUCCACAUGUGUGCGCUCUGCUAUAAAAUGUAUGACCCACUCUGCUUGCCUUACUUUCUAAAUCCCAACCUAAGAAAUUUAAAAUAAAGGAGGCCAAUUCCUCCAUAUAUAUUCCAUUUAGUCUGUGAUUCUGAGCUAUGUUAAACUGAGCUGUUCACACACAGACAGAAGUUGUAACUUCAACUAUGUGGCGACUGAGAAAACUUACCCUCCACCCAGAAAAGUGAGUCUGUUUCUUGGAAAAAUUUGCCCUUCUUUCUACCAUCUUAGUGUUCCUCAUCUCCCACCCCCCAGAUAGGUCCCUCCCUCUCUUUUCUUUAUCACAACUGUAUUCAAUUCAACUACCACUGAGUGGGGUUCCCUAUGUGCCAGGCCCUGUGAGGGGGUCUUCAUGGACAUGACCUCCUCGUUGAAGCUUCCCAACACCCCCCAUAAAUGUCAGAAUUUAUGGGUGAUGGGCCUGGGCCCGAGAGAAACUAGGGAACCUGCUCCAAUUUCAGAACUCAGCAUUGAACUUAAGUCUUUCAACCAUGCUUUCAGCUUCUCUCGGCUUCAUAUGGCCCUGGGCACAGACCUCUCCAAUUCCAAUGCAGUAGGAACUGCCUUUGCCAGAAUCCUCGAGUUUUCCGAGUGAGCUGCUGUUGGUGGAGGGGGAAGCCUGCGAUGUUAGCAGAAGGCUGGAGAGAAAUGGGAAAAUCUCAAGAAGAAUAGGGGGGGGAGGGUCCUUCUUGGAAGGAUGGCAGAGACCCCACCCGCUGUCCUAGAAGGGGUUAGGAUGGGUCAUAUCUGGGAUCGGGCUGGAUUCUUAUUUUCUCUUUUGGAACAACACAGUUAGAAUUUCCAGAGCUGGCCAGAGGUUCAGUCAGGCCUGGGGCUGACUCCUCCCCACUGAAGCUUCAGGGGCCAGCUGGCUAAUGCUGGAAGGAGGUGACCGGGAGAGAAUGAGCAGCUAGAUGGCUCUUGCAUUGUGAUUAGAGAGAGAAAACGCCCGAGAAGAGAAAAAUGUCGGGGGUAGAAACAAUGCCUUGACACGGGCUUAAAACAGUCCACAUAGCCGAAUUAUUUCUUGUGAUGCAGCCUGUCAGCCUUGUUGCUUAAUGGGGAUUCUGGAGCAGGGGCCAGGAGUUUCCCUGAGAGAGUCUUGCCUCUGACCUCCCCCUGACCUGCACCUGGUGGCCUGAAGCACAGGUGACAGCACAGCUGGAAUUCACCUACCGCCCACAGCUGGGCUCCUUGCCCCCACCCCAGCUGCAGGAACAGCAAGGUGCCAGCCCCCACAGCUCGCCUCCCUCCACCUAUAUACAAAUGCAGAUCUGGAUAAACACCUGCUGGAGCUUUGCCCCUGAAGAGGAUGCUGGCCCAGGAGGACUGGCCUGCCUCCAUCACAGAGGGAAGAUGUGGCCCAGCACUCAGCAGGCCUGUAGUCUGGGAGAAGAGUGCCAUCCCAGCUGAGUGCUCACUGCUAAGCUACACACGAGCACAUGGACGUGCAAACAAAUGAUUGCUGACACUUGCUUGCACCAGGCCCUGGGGCCAUUUGGCCCUGGGACUGAGCGCUGGCCCUCCUGAUAACAGGGAUUCAGACUUGGUGUGGAGGUCCCCUUUUCAACAUACUGGAAGACACUUUCCCUGGACUGUCUGUUUUUAGUGGUGUAGGAUUUCCUGCAGACUUAUUAGCAUCUCCCAUUUUGGGAUUUUGGGGGAGGCUCUGGACAACUAAAGGCCAGCUCCACCCACGAUGAUGUCUAGGGCACGCUCUAGGAAUGGGAUGGAGUUCUGGAUUAAACCAUACUCCCCACUCCAAACUGGACAAUGGAGGCAUUAGACUAAGGUGGGGAGAAUGCCUCCAGAAUGCCACAGCUACCCACACUCAGAUUAGGUGCUGGGCCGUCUAAAGACUGCAAGAGAAGGGGAGAAUGCAAUCUUAGGACCGUUUAUGGGGGCAAGUUGGGGGCAGGUAUGCAAUCUAUAUUUUGUUCACUCUGCAUUUUAAUUACCACUUUCCUCCCACCAGCAGAGUUUGCCAAUUAAAGGCCAAUCUCUCUUGAUUUCUUUGCUUUAAAAGGACAUUUCGAUUCAUCCAGGCAGACAAUGAAAUCCCCCUCUGGCCUCUCCCUUCCCAGAGCUCAGGAACAAGCUGCCUCCCUAUCUCCUUCCGGCAUCGAGCAGUGGGAAGGAGCUGAUCUCAGGUGCUAACCUGCAGUUAUCAGAAUGCCAGACUCAUUUAGGGAGCUCAACUGCAGAACCGAGGCGAUCCUUUCAUUGAUUGUGGAAAGUGCUGUUUAGAUUUUGCUUCUGCUCAGUAAACAACUAAAAGUAACUGAGGGAUUUCUCCCUUGCAUUCAGCGCUCUCUCUUUCUCUCUUUCUCUCUCUCUCUCUCUCUCUCUCUCUCUCUCUCUCUCUCUCACACACACACACACACACACACACACACACACACACACAUCCUUCCUUCCCUCCCUCAGGCUCCUAUUAAUCACGAAGGGUCAGUGAGACCGUGGUCUGUUUCUAACGCCCUCGGCUAACCUCCCCCCACGCCUGCGCCCCCCAGCAGCCGCGUCUUUUGGGGGCGCUACGCCUUCCGGGGAGGACUCACGUCUCCCGCAAAGGACAUAGCCUCCCAAGUUCCUAAAUCUGUAGGGAAAGCUCCUGAGAAAUGGUUGUCCCUUUGGGCCACCUCUGAAAGUCCCCACCUGGCUAGAACACAGGCCAAGGGCUUUUCCGGGCCGUCCGCCCCAGCCCCUGCCAGCGCCCUGGCCACCGGGACGCCUGGCGGCUGAGCCCGCGGGCCGGGCCGGGGCUGGGGCGGCGCUCGCCGGCUCUGGACGCGGCCGCUCGCGCCCCGAGACAGGUCUCUUCGGAGGUAAAAGCGAAUUAAAUUGGCAAACUUACUCCGAUGAUGACACUUUUAAGAUUCUUAGCAAGAUCCCCAUUUACGUAUAGUAAAAAGGAGAAGACUGUUCCCAGGGUCCAUAAUUUGCUGGUCUGUGAAGAGACCGCCUGUUUUAAUCAGGUCCCCUCCUUUAGCUUUCUCUCUCGAAAUAGGUUCGCCCUGAAGUGAUCGUCUCGAACGUGCAGGUUCUGCCAUCUGUUUGUGUGAAAUAAAUAGAAAGACAUAAGUGCCAGUCAUCCACAAUAUAAAAGAUUAGUACAAAUCCUAAACAAUGAUUAUUUAAAAUUCAAUUUAAAAAGUCAAAUUAUAAAGAAGAGUUUUCCUGAACACUUUCGACGCAAUCAGCCUGUAAUGAGUAUAUUUUCAAAAAAUUAAGAAGUUUCUUUUUCAAAGCCUGUAUUAUUUCAAAUGGAAUUCUCUUGUUUGCUUAAACACUUUUCACAUGAUAAAAAAUAUUUUUCAAAUUAGAUCACCUCAACUUAAAAUACAGUUCUCCAAUAUCAGCCAGCCUCAAGCAAGAACGUUUUUUAAAAGUCUCACAAAUCUAAUUUUUGGAUCCAUUCUUCCCAAGAUGCCAAAUCUCUACUAUCUUUUAAUUUCUUAAAUAGCUACUUCUGUCCAUGAGCUCUCCAGGGUAAAAAAAAAUCCUAUAAAAUAAAACAAACAUUGUAAUUUAUAAAUUCUUAGGAUUUCAAAUGGAAAUCUCGUUCACAGUAUCGAGUAUUCCACAGUAAUGGACGUUAAGGAAAUGAAUAUUCUUUUUUAAUGAGGGAUAAUUCCUGACACUACAUAACUUUUAUUAUAUGAGGUACACUUGGACAAACCAACAAAGCGUAUCAUUUCUUUGCUCGUUGCCUCUUCCAGUACAAUUUAUAAUGGAGUAUAAAUGCAUUGGGGACUUGAUGUAUUUAUUAUGUGCCAACCUAUCUGUAUAUUUGAUGGAGUUCAACUAUAUCUUUGCACAGUGUGCAGUCCAUGCUGUGUCCUGAGGAAAGGAAAGAAGAACAUAUCGCCAUCCUCGUGGCUCGGUCUUUGGUGCAGCUGUUCACAGGCAGCUCACAGCAUCCUCACUCCAUUGUUAUUGACAGUGCUAUUUUGUUAAAUAGCAGCUUUGAUAUGAUGAAACCUAAUUAUCCAAUUUCACUUCAUAUUUUCCUCUAAAUUAAUGUGUUUUAUAAAAUAGCUCAAUGGUGUUAAUUAAACCUCUACUUACAAAGACGAUUUCUUUGUAUUUCUCAAUGUUUGUCUUUCUAGAUAUGAAACAUAUUAAAACAUGUUUUUGAGGGAAAUGAACAUACUGAUCAUUUUUUGGACCAUUUAAAACUUUUAAUAAAAUAUAGAACAUGUUUCUUGGUAAAAAUAGAAUAGAUUCUAUGUAGAAUAAGAAUUUAUUUUCUUUCCCCCUUUCCUGUGUGCAAUGUUUGUGCAGGUUUCCCCACACCUGGGAGUAGUUUAGAUAUUUUUUAAUAGUUCACCACCUCUGGAGCCCAGGCAAAGUCGAGAUAAGUUUUGAAAAAUAAUUCAGGAGAAACCUGCAGGUAUUAUUGGGACACAGGAUGGAACCUCCCACGGCACUGUGAGACAAGCGACAUUGUUUGGUGCAAGGGGUGAAAAACACGACCUAACAAUGUUUACAUGUGUAUUCAGCCAUGAAAUUGAAUAUUAUCAAAGUUGAAAAAAUGCAAAUCAAAUUAAAACCAGAGAAAUUUGUCUUUGGAAUUACAGCGGCCUGAAGCCCCCAAGUGUUUGCUUAAAUUGAAGCAUUUAGAAAAUGGAAAACCUCUAAAUUGCCCCCCUCUAUUACCCGCUCCCCCACCCCAGCUAGGUGGAAAUUUGUUUCUUAAUUCUGCUAGAGUUGUAUCCAGGCUCAGGCAUCAAACACGCGCCCUAGGCAUCAAUCACUUUGGAAUAUAACUUUUUCUUAAAAAUUAAAUGUCUCCCUUUACCUAAGUCUUACUAAAGUCGGACCUGUUUCAGAAACCGAGCGGCAGCCGCUUGCUUCAUCCCGAAAUGAGCCCCAAGCCGCUGGCUGCUGCACUCGCUUGUGCUCCCCGCGGAGACCCUCUGCGGAAGCCGCAGCCACCCAGGCGGCGCGCUCGAGCCCCGGCCGCCUGCUCGGCCCCCAGCCCGGGGUGGGCGCAGCCCGGGCCGCUCAGCCCCGCCGGGGUGCGUGUCGGCCGGCUGGGGCAGCCGAGCCUCCCGGCGCGUCGUCGGGCUUUCCCAUGUCGGCCAGCACAGGCGGCGGAGACGCGCGAAACUCGGAGAGGCGGCGGCGCGCCGUGGGGGGCUCCACCUCGCCCCCUCCCAUGCUCACUACGCUAACUUUCCAGGGUCUUAGUGGAGGAGGCCCAAAAAGGGAAAUGCCAGAUAAAUAUUCUUUAGAGAGAAAGAAAAAAAACUUCAAAAGCAAUAGGUAGAGGAAAGGUCAUUCUCGCCUUUUCCCAAGUUCUAAAGCGCAGGGAAGCGACCCUAGGCGGCCAACCCACCGGACGGGGCCAAUCCCACCCCCGUCACCUGGGCGCUGCAAACUUUAUUCCACUCUCUCCCCUCCCUCGUCUCCCUCCCGCCUCGGAGCAAACAAGGGCGCCCGGGUGCUCCCGCAGAUGCCAAGGCGUCACGUUGGGAGAGAGCCCGCACUGCCUGGCGGCGGCGACAGCAGGAUAUACGGGUGGACCGGCCUGGCGGCGCUCUGAGCGGACCUGGCCUGCCGUCAGGAGUGGGAGCAGGACCCAGCUGGGGUGGGAGCCCGACCGAGGCGGCCACGCCCACCAGCCUUAACUGGGACUGUGGUGGGCGCUGGGGAAGCCAGCAAUAGCUAGGAUGUGCUGGCGUGGCCUUGGAACAACUUGCAUCUCAUUCGGUGACCUCUGAGGAUUUUCAUAUCGCCCCGCAGCCUGCCCUUCCUCCCGUUCUAAAACCCAUCCACCCUAUCGCAUCCCAAGAGCUGGGUGUCAGGCCCGGAUCUCCCAGGGCGGUCUGGCUUUUUCUCCUCCAGGGAGGGAAGACAAUGGGUGGCCUCUGUGUCACUUGGUCCACCCUCCUGGCCUCCUCCUCAGUGCUCGUAGAUUUGAGGGACAGCCCCUGUUUCCAGAAACGCAGUAUCUUGCGUCCAGCCAACCCGGAUCGGGGCAGGGAGAGGAGUAGCGGAAGCCGAUUUUUAUUUGAAACCUGCCCCUGUAUUUCCUUUCCAGGAACCCCUGGAUCAAGACCAGCUCAACUGUGGCUGGGAAAACAGACCCAUGUUCCCCAGAGUUUUUAACUUGCCCAUUAGCUGUGGUCGUGUUUUGGAGAUUCGGAACCUUAUUUCCAAGGAGAGUUGUGAGGGGCAUGUUUAUAUUUAUUUCAAAAACAAGCAAAGGAAAUAGCAGUCAAUUAAAAUGAAAUAUUUUUAUUUGCCUCGCGCGUUGUCAGUGAUUUGCCCCCGGGGAUCCACAAUUUUCCCAAGCCUGUUAACGGGUGACAAUGAAUGAGUGUCUCGUGUAAUUUAAUUUUCCUGUCACACUAAAUAGAGCUACAUUGUAAACCUUAGAUCUAGUCUCACUGAUAGGAUCGCCUUGUUUUGCCAUUUGCACCAUAAAGACCCCCAAAAGGGACACUGUAUUGUGACCUCUACUCUUGAAUUAUUCAAGAACUUAAUGACUUUUUCCAUUUUAAGAAGGGAACUAAUUGCCAUUGAUGUAAAGCGUGUGACCUUCUCUGGCGCCCACUAUGAGAAUGUAGCCAUCUCUGUGUGGAUACAGGAGCUGCAGAGGCACAAAUCAAGAGAAAGACGGAAACAGAAAUGAGCUGCACACACACUGGAAUCGACGUAUUAAUUCAUUCCACCCCAAGCCAUGAUGUAUAUUUCUACAAACUUCUCUUACUUGACCUAAAAUCUGUAUAAAAUCUCACAUCAACUCAGGCCUGUUUUGGGGGCAUGACAUAACUUUUUAGUUAGGAAAGGAACACAAACUAUUGAAAUUCAGUAUUUCUUCAUUAACGUGAAAUUACUUUGUGUAAUGUCAAGCAAAAUAUCUAAUAAUCUGCUCGCCGCCUUCUUUUUUUUUGGCUUUUCUUUACUUUUUUACUCAACAGGAAAAAGAAACACAACUGUAGAGAAAUGGCAUCUCAGUCUUUGCUGUUCGAAUGUCUUGAGUUUCCAGAAAAGCCACCAUUGAAAUUCUUCAGUACCAGAAUUCUCACUCUUCAAAUUACUUGAAAAUGGAUGCUUAUCUUUCCUCAAAGUGAAAAGACUCCCAGGGUACUUGCUACUGUCCUUUCACUCUUUCCCUGGCCCCUGGAAGGAGAAAAGAAAGAAAAAUGGGCUUCUAGCAAAGUUCUUUGGCUUCGUAAAUUCACCUGUCAGUGUACAAAGAUGCUCUGAGGCUUUUCCUGAUUUUCUUAAGUCCACAGCCAAUAGUAACCGUUUUAAAAGUGUGAGAGGAUUGGGAAAGAAAAGCACUUUCCUGUGCUGGGCUCCACAUACUUCUUUUGAACUUUUAAGUGAUGCUUGAGACAUGAAAUCGUCAUUUCUGCAGAGAACAGACAGUUCCUUUCAAAUGACACUCUCAGCAAACACCCUGGCUUCACUGAGAAUGAACAUCCUCUGUUAGGCUGUGAGUCUCAUCUCUGUCUGGUAGCAUUUCUAGAAAAGAAGAUAAAGUACAUUUGAACCCUAACUGUAUUCUAAAGAGUCCCAAUUUAUACCCACAUGUUUGACACAAUUGCCGCUGUUGCAGCUGGAGUCACUUGCAGAACAGAAUGCCCAACCCUCCAUCCAUGGAAGCAUAGUACGUGCUAUUUUAAAGGAGGUUGUCAUAAACCCGUCAUGACCUAAUUUGGUAACAGAGCAACUGUUUUCAUGUUUCUUUCAAAGAAACCUGUGUCCCUCCUUGGUAUUUGAUGCUCUUUGUGUAGAAUAGCAUGACAGAAAAAAUUGGAUAAAAACACAAAGUUCUUAGUGUUAAACAAUAAGGACAUACUUAAGAAACAUAUUUGAAAACAUUUUCAUGUCACGAAAAGUUGGAACGCGUGUGGAAUGAGUGGGGAUCCAUCUUCUUGCGUGUUUCCUGUGAUAAAAGCAGCAUUUUAUGGAUGAAAUGUUAAUUUAGUUUUAGAGACUUUUCACUUAGUUCUCCACAUUUAAAAUGUUUUCAACCACUUGAUGUAGACUACAGAACACAGAAGAAACUGUAUGUGCCUCUCACAGCAUGGCUAUACUCUCUCUAGCAUUCUAUGGUAUUAUCAGCCGGGCAUUUUUCCAUGGUGACAGUAUGUGUUCAAAAUGAAAAUUUCAUUCACCUUUCAAACUGUCACCAUGGGUAAUAAGUUAUGGUUAUUUUUCUUUUCAUCUUAAAAAAUAACUCUCUUGAUCUAGGACCACUCAAAGGACAUUUUGAGUGCUGUGGAAAGUUUGUGGCGUCUUUAAAGGCAAAGCAAAGCCCUCUCUUGACCCAUUUCUAGCUCUCACCCUCUUCUGAAAGGAUUUGUGUUGACAAUUCAGAGAGCCAGAAUGAGGAAUUUUAUCUUCACUGCGCUUGAGUGGAUGGUUCUAGAAGGGUGUGCAAGAGAUUCUGAUUAGAGCCCUGUUUCAUCCAGUUCCCAUCCCAGCUCUCUCCACCCUCCAAAAAAUAAAUAAAUAAACAACUGUGAAAAGUAUUCCCAUUUGGCCUUUAUGAAAGGGCAAACUAUCCCAUGGGGCAGGGAUGACAUGUCAGUUCUCCCUCUGUAAAAUGAGUCCCUUAUUUCUCCAUCAGGCCUGGUGUGAAAGGACGCACCCGGGCUUUGCAGUUGUGUCUUUUGGUAUUGAUGGAGAUCAAGAACACUCUGCACUUUGGUUAUUUUUAAAGAUGCUGUGCGCCUUUAGGGAAGAAUGAAGCAAUUUUCGAGAGGAAAGUAAGCUUAGCAUACCCAGGUGGAUAAACAUUAUCAGGCAAACUGUACUUACUCAUAUAUAAUUCCUUCAGUUUUCCAGGUUCUCGGAGGUAGUUGACACUGCAGUAAGCCAACAGCUUCUUAGUCCAUUACUUUAUCCCCAGCCAAGAAGACCAAUAGGUGCAUAUUUUCACUCUCAUUCCUGAAUUCAUUCACACCCUUUGUCUCCUUCUUUAAAGAUUUUGAACUGCUGAUGUAUGUUUUUAAAAAUGCCAGCACUAACAAAAGUUGACGAUAACUUUCCAUCUUAUUCUGUUUAUCUGAAUGCAUGCACCUAAAUAUAUUUACUGGACUUCUGACUGUCCAUUUUUCUUCCGUGGGAAAUGACAUAAAGAUACCUCAACUUUGACAUAAUUACUAAAAAUACUUUUUAAAAAACCUCAAUUUCUUCUGUUUAGUGAAUAUUUAUUUUAUGAACAUGGGUUGCAGUCUGACUCUGUGUCAGCAUUCUGCUUAUGCAUGGAAUGGUGUCCCUGACUAAGAAGAUAGUUCUAAUGUCUCUCAACAAUGACAUUUCCCAGCAUGAGCAAAUGUGUCUGUGGAAGUAGAAACACCCUUUUCUGGCGUGUUCUCUUCCCUCAUGGAGUGCAGGGGGUACAGAACUCCUAAAGGAUUUUCUGUGUGAUGGAUGAAGCUGAUGUGUUAUCGUACUGGUUCUCUAGGAUGCUAAUUAAGUGUUUAAAUCAUGGAGUAAUUAAACCAUGGAUAAAACAUACCUUGAGUUCACUGAGGCUGAUGCUCUAAGCAUAGGAGGUGUCAAUUUUGUCAUGAGGAAUACAGGGAAUUUUCAAAACAUGCCAUCAGGAUAUAGUUCAAUUUUCCAACAAAAUUCUAAUGACUGCCUAACUCUUCUUGACUCCAUUCUUAUGUUUUCUCUAAAUUUGCUUAUUCACAGCUGCUGGAACAAAAAGAUGAGAUGGAAGCAGGACAUUUGUUUUCCUAAGGCCCCAUCUGACUGAAAGUGCAUGAGCUUCUCUCCACGCUGACCCUUGACCAUCACGAGUGUCCCAAAAGGGCAUACCCCUGCUGCCAGAUUGCUCCUGGAUGCUUUCCUCAGAGUUUCCUAUGAAUAUCAACUGAGGAAUGAGACACAAAAGCAGCCCGUUAGCAGAGAGGCGACGGGCCACGUCCAGAUGUGUGCUGGGCGAGAACAUGGAGUUCUCAGGAUAAGGAAAGAGGGCGCAUAAAAGUUGAGAUGCGCAGACUUGUACCAAACCACCAGGCCACCAACUAUUAGAAUUUGUCAACACAAAGACAUUUAAAUAUAAAAGUGUUGACUUGUCCUGCUGGACAAAUUGAGGUUGUAACAGUUACAUUGCCCAAGUGGACAUUUAACCUCCCCUGAAGUUACCAAAGCUUACCAUGAAUGAAUAAUGGUGAAUGGUGAAUUCUUAUGAAUCUCUCAACUAAGAGUAAGCAACUGGCCUAAGACAUCAUUACUUUUCAAUGAUGAGGAAAAGUCCACUAAUUCAGAGUGAUUGUUUGGGGCAAAAGAUGAUCCAGUACCCACCCUUUGUAGGGCUUUCUUUGCUGGCUGAUAAAACAUGGGAGAUGAGCCCCUGCCUCAUGGAAAGGAGAGUAGUGGCCGACGUUUAAACGGCUGUGAGCCCCCGAAUGGGCAGAGCAGGCUCACUUUUCCCCCAAGGAGCCCUGAACAUAACAGGACACGAACAGCCCAAGGCACACCCACCAAUGCCUCUGCCAUCUGCCCACAUUGGCACACAUAUGCAGUGCUGACUGACAUUCCAAAAGGAAGGGAGUCCCCAGGACCAGCAUGGCCAGCAUGCAGAGAGCAGUACUGUUCUGAGUACCAUUCCUCAUUCUUGGGGUGAGGAAGAGGCUAAAAGGGAUGGAACUCAACUCGUUUAAAGUAAGAAAUGUCAACCCCAAGGGGCGCAGGGCACCUCUCCCUCCCUUUUUGAGACUGAGUGUCCUUCACAAGCUGGCCAUUUGCUGCACGGGGUUUCUAACAAAAUGUGAUUUUUCAGUGUGCUUUGUGUCCGUGGAGAGGCUUCAGAAGGCCCUUGAAGUCCUCAGCCUUAAAUCCAUGUUAACAGGGGGAGGCUUUUCUUGCAGGGUGGGGAGGUUUGGCUGGGAGAAGCCUUGACCCAGCCUGCACUCUAGAUAAACCAGGGCAAAAGACCUCUCUGGUCUGCAGGGCGCUUAUUAACCACUGCUCGUUUGUGGGAUCAAUAUUUCCAGCAAAGGAGUCAACGCUCAAGAGCCACCACUAUGUCUUGUUUUUUUCCUUGACACACUUUUAUAAAUGCAUCUGCCAGAGAAGAAAAGGCAGUACGAGGACUGUGUCUUUUAUCUCCAGGAUAUGCAAAGCACAUUUAUUUUCAGCUUUUAUCUCCGGAAUUGUAUGUUGAUCCCAUACAUAUAGAUUGAUUUUGUUCAGGUAGAUAAUGAAAAGUCAAGUGGAAAAUUACACAAUGGCACUCACGAUCCUGGUCUUAUAUUGGUAUAUAAAUUGGUUUAUUAUUUCAUUCUAUUAAAGAGGCUUUUUUUUUUUUUUUUUUUUUUGGUACCAGGAAAACUUCCAAAUACAACAUGCUGUCAGCCUUACUGAAUUUUCUUUUGGGAGAGGCGGUGGGAGGGGGAGCGGACUGGGCAGAUUCCCUCUGUCCCUUUGCUAAUUGUAUCGGCUAAAUGCGCUUCCACAGAGGAGGGUCCCUGCGGCUUUCUCUCCCCCAGCGCGCUUCAGUGUCACCACGUGGUUUCUCUAACUCUGGGACUUCCCUGGGCCAGAACAAAGAUGUCCAUCACACACCGCCUCUUACAGAGGUGGAUAUUUUUUUCACCCCGGGCAAUUCUAAAUUUUUUCACGAUGAAUGAAAGAAGUGACCCCCCCUGAACACCAAGAGGCCAGGGGUGACGGGGUAGCAGCCGGAUAAAGGCCACCAUCAAGGGACAGCUCCGAGCCAGAAUCCUGGAGGAAACGUUAUUAAUAAACAUCUUCUGGACAUUUGGUAGCCUGUGCGCUUGCUCCAGCUUAAAGCAAUUAAUUCAGGACACUGACAUAAACUCUCCAGGUCUUUGACAGCUUGGAGCCGAAAUAAAAAUGCUAGUUCUCCGGGGAAGGGAAGAGGAUGGCUAGCUCUUUUCUGGACUGUUUGCUUAUAGGCCCAGAAGGCAACCUUCCUUGCAGAAUGAAAUGCAAGGGCACAAACAAUGUACCAGGGAGAGAAUAGAAGAUGGGAAUGAACAGUUUGAACUAUUUGCUCAGCAGAAGGGCACCACAAUGCCGAGGCAGUGGUUUUCCCAUGCAUCCACCGUCCGUUCUUUGGGGUCUUUUGUUGUCCCCUGUCUCUUUUGGCCAGAUAAGAGCACAGCUGCAGCGUGAGCUAAGUAAGGGCAAACUUAUUCCCCAGAUCUCGGGGUGCCUUUUCUGUAACCAGUUUGGCUCAGCUCUCUUUUAUUUCAUGUGCGGAUGGUGGGGGAGAGAAUGGAAGAAUGGAGGGGGCAGGGGAGAGAGGACUGGGACAUCGCCUGUGUCUGAUUCCUGAUUUUCUUUCUUUCUUUCUUAAACCCAGGCAGUGAUCAGACACAAUCUUUGUGGGGCAUUUAAAUGGAAGGGCUCAGCGAGUCGUACUGGUUGCCAGGCCAAAAUGUUGCCUUUUGGGGGAAGGAGGGGAAGGAGGAGUGUUAUGUGGUUCGGGCAAGGGGGGUGGUUAAGGCAGAAUUUGUCGCUUAAAUAAUCAGGCCUCUCUGGCGGCUGAAAAGAGGGAAAUGUUUUCAAUUAGCAAUUUAAAAACUGUGUUCAAUGAUGAUUUGUCACUUUUGAAAGUCAUCCUGGACUCCUCCUUUCUAUACUUAUUUUGUUCAGAAUCCUAAUCAAGAGAGGUUGCUGAAAUCAGAGCAAAACAGGAUGAACUGGAAGUGGGACAUAAAAGGUACUUGCAUAAUUGCCGUAAAUUACACCCCCAAUCAGAGUAAAUGUCACCUAAAUUGUAAUCAAAAUGUUCUUUCACAUUUGUUCUUUUGCAGUCAGGGCCUAUUUUAAACGCCAUAAGAGAAAGUAGAUGUGAUAAUAAGGUAAAAAUCAGCACAAAGUACAGUUUACAUUAAGUUGAUUUUAAAGUCAAAAUCUAGCACAAGUUUGUACUGCCUGGUGUGUGUUCCAAUUCAGCGGGUUUUGCCACCAAUGUCGGUUUUGGGAACCAGGCUACAAUGCUUAAUUCCAUUGUAAUAAGGUUAUUUAGCCUGAAUGGUUUUAUAAGGUGAAAAGGCAAAAAGUUUAACACCAAAGAAAAUUAAUGGUUUACUAUGAUUGCAUUAAACAUUCACAGGCCAGAAGCCCACCUGAGCGAAAUACACAGUUUCAAUGCUGUUGUGGGUUUUUUAACAAUGACAAACUCGCAGAAAAAAACCCUUCUGUAUAUUUUCCUGCUGGGUGGUCAGAAGGAAAGGCCACGAAGCUAAAGGCCUCCCAUUGAGACCCUGCUCUGCAAGGAGCCGACCUCACGUGCCGCCGCCGCGGGAGAUAAGAGCACCUGUCGGUCUCCGCGCUCGCUAGGCAGCGACUCUGCUGACUCUGCGCGCUUGGGCUGGCCACGCGCCCGCCGCACGGCCGGGACAGGGGCUCCCUGCCCGGAACCGUCCAGCCGUCAUGCCUGCGCCGGGCUCAAGACAUCCUGUGACUGUCCCUGUGGCCAUUGUCCGGUAGAGCUGCUAAGUAGUUUUAAUGCCAGUCAGGAAUUCAACUGGGUAGAGGAAGAGAGCUUGUUUCUGCUCCCUCGCGUCUAGGACCUCCUCUAGAAGGCUGAAAGCUCAUGUACUUACAAGUCCAGCAGUUGGUCCUGGUUGUUGGCUGGGGAACCAUUUGAGGCUGUCAGCUGGAACAUUACACAUGUGGCCUCUCCAUGUCGCCUGGGCUUCCUCACGGCAUGGGGCCUAGAGUCCAAGGAUGAGCAUUCAGAGACACAGAGAGAGGCAGCCAAGCCAAAGCCAUGCUGCCUUUUAUAACCUGACCUUGGAAGUCGUGCACUGGCACUUCCACCAUGUUCUGCUGGUAGAGGUAGUUAUAAAGGUCCAGCCAGGUUCAAUGGAGGGAACGUAUGCAGGCCCCACCUCUCGGCGGAAGAGGAUCGAUGUCUGUGAUUGAUUGUUGAUUGUAUAAUGUGGACUAAAGUAACAUAAGCCACUUCUGGAUCUAUGCAUCAGUCUCCACACGCCACCCACUCUUUCUUCCCGUGCAGUGGCAACUGUGUAUAAUAUGUGUUGAAGAUGACAAUGACACAAAAGUCGAGGAGGCUGGAUCCCUGAGUCAUCACCUGGAGGAUAACCAUCCAAUCCAUACUGACCUUCGUGAGUGUGAUAAUUAAACUUUAGUGUGUUAAUCCUCUGAGGUUUGGUAAUUGCUACAAGAAUUUUAUCCAUAUCCCCAAACUUCGUCUGAGCCCAGGUAUUUUUCUUCCUGUGUUAACAGCACGUCCACCAGGACUGCAAAUCUACGAUGAAAGCAAGGGACUAGGGGUGAUUUCUCCUGCCUCCUUUUGAUCUGUGCACCUCCCCACCGCUCCAAGUAGCAGUGAGCAGGGAAAUGACUGUGUGAAAGAGGAGAAGGAAGUCAUGGGACUGCCCAGGUCAUUGACCAACGGGAUCACUGACUUUAUACCAAAGGCCUUGGCCAAACCCGAAGGUGGAAAAUGGGCAAUGUUGACAGGGACGCAGUAAGUCUUCAGUGCUUCUUUGGACGCUCUAGGGGAAAUGGAGAUCGCGUGCUGGAAAUGAUCGGCAGGCACGUGUCUGCAGGGGCUUAGCACACCCGGAAGACACUGUCUGAAGGAGAAAGUGCGCCUGCCGUCUGUCCCAAUAAAAAGCCUGGGAAAAACACCUGCCAAGUGAUAUUUAGAACUGACAUUUUCAUAGGGAUCCAGGCAAUGGAGGGUUUUGCGGGGCCCAGAAAGCACGGUUUUCACUCUUUCUCCUCCUCAUUUUCUGUAACUGAACAAUGCGCACAGUGUUAACGUACAUUUAAAAUGACGUGCUUUAAGGAGUACAUUUUUAAAAGCUUUUUAUUUGGAAAUAGUUUUGACAAUAAUAAUGAUUUCAAUAACUACAAUUUAGUAAUAAUUGACAAUGACAAUAAUUUUAAGAAAUAAUAUUUCUUUUCUGAACCAUUUGAGAGUAAGUUGCACACAUCAUGGCUCUUUACUCCUAAAUAUUUCCUAUUUCCUCUUAAAUAUUUCAGUGUCUGUUUUCUAGGAAUAGAGAUUUUUAUGUAACUGUAGCACAGUUCUCAGUCUCAGUAAAUUUAACAUUGAUAAUAUUUUUUUCUAAUCUACCAUCAGUGUCCUGAUUUUAUCAAUAUUUUGACUUAAUAACGUACUAUUUAGCAUUUUCCCCCCUCAGCACGUGUUGUCACGUCUCUCUGAUUUCCCUUAAUCUAAAACAUUUCUACAGCCUUUAUUUGUUUUUUAUGAUAUUGAGAGUUUUGAAGAAUAACGUUUCUCGUUGUCACUUGUUCUGUUUCCUCGUGAGUGGAUCCAGGCUGCGCCUCCCCGGCCGACAUCCACAGAUGAGGCCGGAUCCUGCCCAGGGCCUCGCCUCAGGCGCACAGCCUCCGUUUCCUCUCGAGGCUGAUGUCGUUGUUAAUCAUGAAGGGCAAUGACGUCUGUAAAACUCUUAAGAAGAAGAGGCCUCUGAAGGUAUAAUUCUCUGAAAGCUAUUUUCUAAGUUCAAGUCUGUGGCCUUUCAGUCUCUAAGAAGGAAAUACUGGGUGUGAAUGUUUUCGUCUGGGAUACAGCCGGGCAGCUCUGUCCAGAGGGCAGACUGUGCUUCUGACCUGGAUCCUUGGGAUGCUGCUGGUUCUCCACUUCAGCCUGGGAGGGAAGACCAGGUCUGGACCCGUGCACAGGCAAACGCCAUGCCAAGCUGGGGUUUAGGCACCAAAGGAGGCCCAACUGGUGGUGCUAAGGUUUGGGAAACGGAAGCCCAGACUCUGUGUUUAUUCUCCAUCAAUUGGAAAAUUCCUGAAGGAGAACUUUGGCUGGAAAACGUCUGAAUAGGUGGAUGUCUCUGCUCUCUCGCCAUGGGUGCCGUCCUGUCUGAGGUUUUCGUAUCCUGAUGGGGGAAGAAGCAGACGGGGCGCUCUCUCCACUGUCACGGAUGCCGAGUGGAGAGGAGAGGCUACUACGUAGUCUCAGAGUCAGAAAAGAUCUUGAUACACUGGGCCUUUCCAGGAUGAAAGUCUACGCUGAGCAUCACACAUAACCUUGUGUAUUUCCUUGGUUCCAAGAGGCUUUCCUCUACCUUUUACUGUUUCUGGCCUUUGGAUGCAUCCUACACUCUGUGUCAAAGGCAACUAGCUGUUUAAUAGGUACGGUUGUUGUAAAUAGAAAAUCUACCCAUAUGCAGACAAAGGUUCAACUAAUUGUUGCCUUGUUCCUCCUCCACCAUUGGUUGCACUACACAGGAAUCUAUUUUCAUCAAUGUAUAAUUUACAUACGCUAAACUAUGUCCUUCUUGUUGUACAGUUCCAGGAGUUUUGACAAAUGCAUACGGUCAUGUAACUAACACCAAAAUCAAGGUACAGAACAGUUUCACCCCCCAAAAGAGUUCCCUUGUGCCCUUUGUAGACAAACGCUCCUGCUUAGCCGCUGGCAAUCACUGAUCUGUUUUCUAUCCUUGUAGUUUUGCCUUUUCCAGAAUGUCAUAAAGAUGGGAGUAAAUUUAUGUAGCCUCUCUGUGUCUGGCUUCUUUUGCUCAACCAAUGCAUUUGAAAUGAAUCCAUGUUGUCCAUGUAUUCAUGGUCUGUUCCUUUCUACUGCUGAGUAAUAUUCCACUGCAGAGAUGUCCACACAAUGUUUACUCAUUCAUCAUUUAAAAGACAUUUGUGUUGUUUUCAGUUUGGGGCUAUUAUGAAUAAAGCCAUUAUAAACAUUCACGUCCAAGUUUUUGUGUGAACAUAUGUGUUCAUUUCUCCUGGGUAAAUGGUUAGGAGGAAGAUUUCUGGCUCACAUGGUAAGUGUAUGUUUAACUUUGCAGGAAACUGCCCAACUGUUUUCCAAAGUUGUCCUACCAGCUUGUGCUCCCAGCAGCAAUGCAUGAGAGCACUGCAUCGUGGGACUGUCAGCAUUUUUAGCUGUUCAAAUAUGGGCAUAUUGGUAUCUCAUGCUGGUUUAAACUUACCUUUCUCUAGUGACGAACGAUGCUGAACACGUUUUUUAUGAUGAUUUGUUCAUAUAUCUUCUUUGACAAAGUGUCUGUUCAAACUUUUUUUUUUUUGAGGAAGAUUAGCACUGAGCUAACAUCUGCUGCGAAUCCUCCUCUUUUUGCUGAGGAAGACUGGCCCUGAGCUAACAUCCGUGCCCGUCUUCCUCUACUUUAUAUGUGGGAAGCCACAGCAGGGCUUGCCAAGCGGUGCCAUGUCUGCUCCCAGGAUCCGAACCAGCAAACCCAGGGCUGCCAAAGCUGAACAUGCGAACUUAACCACUGCACCACUGGGCCUGCCCUGUUCAAAUUUUUUAUUGGAUUAUUUGUUUUCUUUUUAUUUAAUUUGGAAGUCUUUUACAUAUUUUAGAUAAGUUCUUUAUCUGAUAUGUGUUUUGCAAAUACUGUCCCCUAGUGUGUGGCUUGCUUUUUAAUUUCUUAACAGUGUCUUUUUAAGAACAAUUUUUCAUUUUGGUGAAGUCCAAUUUAUCAACUUUUUUCUUUCAUGUGUUACAUUUUUUGUAUCAUAUUUAAGGAAUAUUUGUCUAAUCCAAAGUCUUAAAGAUUUUCUGCUGUUUUCUUCUAGAAGUUUUAUAAUUUUACAUUUAGGUUUAUGAUCGAUUUUGAAUUUGCUUUUAUACAUGGUAUGAGAUAUAGAUUAAAGUUGUGUAUAUUUACCAUGGUGAGCUUUUUUAGUUGUUUUCCUGCAAAGGUAAUAUUAAAUCAAGGAUGCGUCUUACAAAUGAUAGAGUCUUCAACUGAAAGAAGUACAAGAAAUACAAGACUGGC
rnacentral:lncRNA from 1 species